rnacentral:rRNA from 1 species
UACGUAGGCAGCGAGCGUUGUUCGGAGUUACUGGGCGUAAAGCGCGUGUAGGCGGGCCGUUAAGUCGGGGGUGAAAGCCCAGAGCUCAACUCUGGAAUUGCCUUCGAUACUGGCGGCCUGGAGCAUGAUAGAGGCGAGUGGAAUUGCGAGUGUAGAGGUGAAAUUCGUAGAUAUUCGCAGGAACACCAGGGGCGAAGGCGACUCGCUGGAUCAUUGCUGACGCUGAGACGCGAAAGCGUGGGGAGCAAACAGG